GAGUAACGCGUGGGAACGUACCAUUUGCUACGGAAUAACUCAGGGAAACUUGUGCUAAUACCGUAUGAGCCCCCCUUUAAAAUUUCAGGAAUCAUAAAAUGCCCUGGCAUUUUAUGGGGGGGAAAGGUUUAACAGGCAAUGAUCGGCCCCCAUUGGAUUAUGGUGUUGGAGGGGUAAAGGCCUACCUGGGAGACAAACCAUAGCCGGACUGAUAGGAUGAUCAGCCACGCUGGGACUGAGACACUGGCCACACUCCUAAUGGAGGCAUGCCUGGGGAAUAUUGGACAAUGGGCGUUGCCUGAUCUUUCCUGCCGCGUGAAUGGACAAGGACCUAGGGUUGUAAAGCUCUUUCCCGGGGAACAUAAUGACCGUAACCGGAAAAAAAGCCCCGGCUAACUUCAUGCCUGGGCCSCGGUAAUACSAAGGGGGGUUGCGUUGUUCGGAUUUACUGGGCGGAAAGCGCCCCCAGACCUGCCUAUAAUACUGGGG
rnacentral:rRNA from 1 species